rnacentral:lncRNA from 1 species
CUUCCUCUGGAAGUGCCUCUACCGAUGACUUCUGUCAAGGAGCUUGUUCCUUUGUCCUUCCUUCCAGGAAUCAAAGCAGACACCAUUGUGACUUCUAUCUUUCCCGGUCAAAGGAAAGAAACAAUGUAUUGGAGGUGAAAUAAUGUCCAGGAACAUUUUUCCAUCGGUGAUGACUUGACAACACAGUCUUAUUCCUUCAAAGGGAAAACUCUUUUCUGUGUCAAUAGAUGUUUCCUUCCUCAAAGCCAGUGUAUUAUUUUCAUGGAUUCAUUUGUUUUUGAGGAUUUGUUCAUUCUGCUAGUAGAAGUGCUAACAGAAGAGGAGAAAUAAUGAAAAAAUGGUGGACGUUUUACAUUGUGUUUGAGCAUUCCGUUGCCUAGUACCUAAAAUUAUCUCUUUAAAAAAAUGAUUGCUUGUAUCAAAUUAUUGAAUCUGAAAUUCAGCCUAUCAAAAAUUAGGGGAAUAUGCAUUGGGGGUAAUUUUGCUUUUUUUGAAAGUGCUAUGAAUUAGGAAUAGAUAGAACA